UACGGGGGGGGCAAGCGUUGUUCGGAAUUACUGGGCGUAAAGGGCUCGUAGGUUGCCAACUAAGUCAGACGUGAAAUCCCCGGGCUCAACCCGGGAACUGCGUCCGAUACUGGCAGGCUUGAAUCCGGGAGAGGGAUGCGGAAUUCCAGGUGUAGCGGUGAAAUGCGUAGAUAUCUGGAGGAACACCGGUGGCGAAGGCGGCAUCCUGGACCAACACUGACACUGAGGAGCGAAAGCCAGGGGAGCAAACGGG
rnacentral:rRNA from 1 species